CUACGGGCUGCAGCAGUGGGGAAUAUUGCACAAUGGAGGAAACUCUGAUGCAGCAACGCCGCGUGGAGGAUGACACUUUUCGGAGCGUAAACUCCUUUUAUAUAGGAAGAAGAUGACGGUACUAUAUGAAUAAGCGCCGGCUAACUCCGUGCCAGCAGCCGCGGUAAUGAGCGGAGGGCGCAAGCGUUACUCGGAAUCACUGGGCGUAAAGAGCGUGUAGGCGGAUUAAAAAGUCAGAAGUGAAAUCCUAUAGCUUAACUAUAGAACUGCUUCUGAAACUCUUAAUCUAGAAUAUGGGAGAGGUAGAUGGAAUUUCUGGUGUAGGGGUAAAAUCCGUAGAGAUCAGAAGGAAUACCGAUUGCGAAGGCGAUCUACUAGAACAUUAUUGACGCUGAGACGCGAAAGCGUGGGGAGCAAACAGGAUUAGAUACCCGCGUAGUC
rnacentral:rRNA from 1 species